rnacentral:rRNA from 1 species
UUGACCUCAAAUCAGGUAGAUCGCCCAG